GGGUUGGUAUUUAAUUCUAUAGUGUUUUCAUAAAAGGCUGUGUCCAUAAACUAAUUUCCUUAAAUUAAGAUCCUUUCUCUGUCCAACAGCACAGCAUCAGGAGUGUUUGGGAUGUUACAAAACGCAUCAUCAGAGCUGCUAAACCAGUCUGGUAUUAUGCUUAAGUGUAGUGAGCACCAUGAUCCUCAUCAGAGUUUUGGAGUCUUUGGUUGGCUGAGGAAAUUGAUGGCAUGAGAGCACACAAAGUGUUCGCAGGUAACAGCUAUGCUACUGUGACGUGGAUCCCGCCUGCAUCACAAAACCCUAUGGAUCACCUGCCAGAUUAUGCGGCUACUCUUGAAGGGAUCAUUCUUCCUUUGUGGGAACCUGGACACUGGACAAUAUGUAAGUAAAUGUAGUUUUGCCCGUACAGUCUUUUUAUUGAAAUAAAUGUACACAUUGUCAGA